rnacentral:misc_RNA from 1 species
AAAAAAAAAAAAAAAUGCACAAGUAGAUGCACCUUGUAGCAAUGUGGCAUUUCAAUUACAAACUAGCUUCUAAAACGAAAAGGGAAUGCAAAGGGAUGUUUAGAACACGCUCAGAAUGGAUUAAGUCACAAGAAGGGGGCAAAAAGCAUGAUGUAUUCAUCACCAAAAAAGAUUAGCAGAAUAAAAUUAACUCAAUUCCCAAUUACUAUGAACAGAAUAGAUAUUGAAACAACAGUCAUAAUUAAGUUGUCUGAUCCAUCAUACUUCUCACUGCACACUGUCAGUACAGAGAAACCUGGCAGGAUCAUAAGAUAUUAAUAUAGGAAGCUGUUCUAACCACCAGUGGCUUUAAAUGCCACGAUCAAAAUGAAACACUUGUUCACUGUACAUAUAAAUUUAUAGGUUUAAUACUUAAAUAACAGCUUCCAUCUUAUUUUCGUCCACUUUGAUAUAGCUCUAUACUAUUGACUAGAUUCAUGAGGAUGAAAAAUUCACUAGUUUUGCCUCAGAUCUUUUCACAUGUUAAAAAACCAAUACAGAAAACUCAAAAUCCUGUUCACAGUGAUAUACUCUGAUGCAAAACUAAGGUCUAAGGGCUAAGGAGAAAACACAAAUAUAAAAGAUUAAACUCAAUGUUCAGACUGAAACCUGAAUGAACAGAAUAUCUAACCUAGAAAGAAAUUAACACAUGCUAUAGUUAUCUACACAAUCAGGUCUUUAUUAUCUAUUUCUCCCCCAAUAACAAUAGUUACUAACACAAACUCUUAUUCUACUCUUCUCACAUACAACUAUCAUAAAUCGUCUCAUAAACUUCAAUCAUGUUUUGUUAGGAGAGUUAAGAAUCUAGACACAGAUAAUUACAGAAAAUUCACCAAGUUACUUAACAGUUAAUACAAUAUGCUGCCAAUACACACUAAUCAUGAGACAAUUUGAACAAAUUUAGAAACCAAUAUUAGACAAUUAGUUUACCUGUAUCUGUGA